rnacentral:rRNA from 1 species
CCUACGGGAGGCAGCAGUAGGGAAUCUUCCGCAAUGGACGAAAGUCUGACGGAGCAACGCCGCGUGAGCGAUGAAGGCCUUCGGGUCGUAAAGCUCUGUUGUUAGGGAAGAAUAAGUGCUAGUUGAAUAAGCUGGCACCUUGACGGUACCUAACCAGAAAGCCACGGCUAACUACGUGCCAGCCAGCCGCGGUAAUACGUAGGUGGCAAGCGUUGUCCGGAAUUAUUGGGCGUAAAGCGCGCGCAGGCGGUUUCUUAAGUCUGAUGUGAAAGCCCCCGGCUCAACCGGGGAGGGUCAUUGGAAACUGGGAAACUUGAGUGCAGAAGAGGAAAGUGGAAUUCCAAGUGUAGCGGUGAAAUGCGUAGAGAUUUGGAGGAACACCAGUGGCGAAGGCGACUUUCUGGUCUGUAACUGACGCUGAGGCGCGAAAGCGUGGGGAGCAAACAGGAUUAGAUACCCUGGUAGUCCACGCUGUAAACGAUGAGUGCUAAGUGUUAGAGGGUUUCCGCCCUUUAGUGCUGAAGUUAACGCAUUAAGCACUCCGCCUGGGGAGUACGGUCGCAAGACUGAAACUCAAAGGAAUUGACGGGGGCCCGCACAAGUGGUGGAGCAUGUGGUUUAAUUCGAAGCAACGCGAAGAACCUUAC